AUGUCCCGGCUUAAUUACGGGAUCAUGUCCCUGAUCCCCAAGGUGCUGGGUGCGGCGGACAUUAGGCAGUUCUGCCCUAUCACAGUCCUCAAUGUGAUAUUUUGGAUUCUGGCGAAAGGGUACGCCACUAGGGCAGCCCUUAUCGCCCCUCGGAUUCAUCACCCGAACCGGUCGGCCUUCACGAAAGGCAGAUUUAUUCUGGACGGGAUACUCAUCCUUCACGAGGUGAUCCAUGAGGUCAAGAGCAAACACCUCCACGUUGUGUUCUUCAAGAUUGACUUCCAUAACGUUUAUGACACCGUCCACUAGUCCUUCCUCCGGGAGGUGUUGCUCAAACGUGGAUUCGACCCCCACUGGGUUGCCUGA
rnacentral:rRNA from 1 species